UUGGUGAGAUCGUGAUGACGAUUCCUACCAUUGGCUCAUGUUGGAAAUACAUAGCAGGAACAGGGUAAUCUUUCAACAUCAAAGAAGUUAUGAUUCUUACACAAUACUAUCUUUAAUUGAUGUCAUGGGGCGUACACUUUCUUUAUCUGAUGUUGGAUAAUACGCCAGAAUCUUUAUUGGUGUUUAGUGACAUUAUUGUACAAGCCUGUGGCACUUGUGAUUGUGAUUCUGAUGAAUAAUUAACGCAUAUUAGUUAUC
rnacentral:lncRNA from 1 species